rnacentral:rRNA from 1 species
UGGGGAAUUUUGGACAAUGGGCGCAAGCCUGAUCCAGCCAUGCCGCGUGAGUGAAGAAGGCCUUCGGGUUGUAAAGCUCUUUCGCGAGGGAAGAAAACUUAGCCAAUAACACUGGCUGAGGCUGACGGUACCUUGAUAAGAAGCACCGGCUAACUACGUGCCAGCAGCCGCGGUAAUACGUAGGGUGCGAGCGUUAAUCGGAAUUACUGGGCGUAAAGCGUGCGCAGGCGGUUUGAUAAGUCAGAUGUGAAAGCCCCGGGCUCAACCUGGGAACUGCGUUUGAAACUGUCAGGCUAGAGUGUGUCAGAGGGAGGUAGAAUUCCACGUGUAGCAGUGAAAUGCGUAGAGAUGUGGAGGAAUACCGAUGGCGAAGGCAGCCUCCUGGGAUAACACUGACGCUCAUGCACGAAAGCGUGGGGAGCAAACAG